GUAGCUCAGUUUGUCCGCUCGCCUGAGGGCGAUGCCGGUGUCUGCGCCUCGAUCCAUCGGACUUGGCGUGGUGUCGAGGCAGACACAGGCUCUGGAGGGUGGUAGAGGGUACCGCUUCCCGGGAGGUCGGCGUGUGGGCGUAGGGAUUGGGAUCCGAUCUAGGGUGGCGUGGAACGCGCGUGCGCUUUCGGUUCGUGUGCGGAGACUGGUGAGAGGGGUCGGGGCGACUGAGGAGACCCAGGCGCUCAGAUAACGGAGUGGGUACCUAAGCCGAUCAUCGUCGCGCGCCUGCCACCGCCGCACGCACUAGCCGCCCUAGCACGACCCACGGAGCCACCAGCGCGACGUGGAGCCGCGACCGGGGCGCCGGGGCUCAGACGGUGGCCAGCUCCGGGAGGCCGCCGCGAAGGCGGCGGCGGUGGCGGGGCACGCCCAGAUGUACCUGCCGACGAAGCUGUACUACGUGAUGCCGGUGACGUUGCGCGACGCGGUCCGCGCCCGCGAGCCCCUGCUCGAGCAGCAGCCGCAGCAGUCACUACUGCUCUAGUGGCGGUUGUUCCCUGGGGGGCAGUGCGGCGAGGUGCUCUCUUACUUUUACCAGGCACGACAGUUUACCCAACUGCUACAGUAAGGUCUACGUGGUAUACGGUAUUGGCUUCUAAAGUACUUGUUCGAUAAGUUACUCAUGUUAUAACUAAUGUAAUAAGUACCACUACUAGGAACGGACGAUGGUCUACCGUGACUGCGUAUACGGGAACGGUUUUUCCGACCGGCUAUAUUCGUCUAAUUUUCUUGGCUUCCUCACAGUUGUUGUCUGUAACAACCUUCUUACGAAGAAACACAAUCUCUCUCUGGUCAAAGACUAUUAGUCUCGGUGAGAAGUGAUGUUUCUGUCAAGUCAGUACCCGUACCAGUCUUAUAACUACUAUCACCUAAACCUUUACCUUGUUUUUAUAGAGUAAAAGAAGGGUGUAGAGCCGCCUAUCAAGUCAAGAGUUUACCGUCCCCCGGUCCUGGUCUAAGGGCCCAUCAAAUGUAACUACCACGUAAACUAGACAAGGUACGACCUGUACAGCUCUAUAACGCUGAACGAGCUCCCGAACCUCUAAAGAACGAACACCCGUAAGUGUGUCUAGUCUGGUAUUCAAGUUGAGCUCCUGGUGUAGCGGGUUAGUACUUAGAGGUACUCGCGUCAAACUCACAAAACCGAACAGCAAUACAACUGCUUCAUUAGUAACCACGAGGCACCGUGUAAAGUUUUCUGUACUAAUGGUGAAAAUUAUAAAGUAACCAACAAGUACCUUGAUAUCGACUCUUGUACCUGAUAUGUCUCCUACUAAGUUUAGGUAUACGACGAGGUUAACGAUACCCGUAAAUAGUAUUUGACCUAUCGGGAAACCUGUAGUGGUGAUCAUGAUAAUAUUCCUCUUAUCAAAGAUUGGUACUUCGGAUGGUCUUUGCCUUACUCUUCUUCCUUCGGUCGCUCUUCUUCAUGAUACUGUCAUUUUCGAAACAGUUACCUCUCAUCACCGAAGACUUAUCUAGAAGAGUCUUCUGACAAGGACCUAGAAACUCCGAGAUUGUGUCCAGUGUUUACUUUGGUAGUUCACUAGAUGUUAAAAUGGCGAGGUAACAGUAAAAACGAUAUAUCGAAUCAUCGAAGUCUACGUCAGAACUACGUACUGUCCGUCACCACGACUUAACCCACGCCUUGGACCUACUUAAAGGUCACCGGUGAAAGUCACAGUGAUGGAUGGGAUAGGAGGGGACAUAUGGCCGAAGGUCUCGACGACAAUGGCCGGCUCAAGAAAAGCUCUAGAUAUCUAGAGACUCUUAACACCAUGUUCUACUUACGAUCCGGUUAAUUAACAAACAAAGGGACAACGAGAAUACACCGCCCGUAGGUUACGGUCAGCAAAAGAGUAUAUAAACCACCUCGACUCAGGGCUAGAAUUUGGCUUGUACCUGAUUGACUAUACCAUACGGUCAGUGACCAGCCACUUUCGUCAACCCAGACUACCAUGUUGACCUGCCAACCAAAGCAGCCCUAGACGGCUGUGCAGCUCUAGAUAACAUUAGAACCGUUUUGCGAACGAUCCGUUAUUGUAUUGUGAUCUUUCCACGGUCUACCGACGUGGGACGACCAAGACAGGCGCCCAGGCCAUACGACAAUUCGUACCUUUUCCUACACCAUGGACACUCUAAAGGUCUACCACGUAAAAAUCGUCGUCGACCCCGACUGACACAAACGAGAGAACACUCGUUGAAGGGUGACAAACGACAGGUAGCAAACGCG
rnacentral:rRNA from 1 species